UCGGCACCAAUUAGCAGCUGCAUGCAUAUCGAGUUUAUAUAAGUCAGUCACACGCAGUAGGUGCGGCCUAUGGGAGAACGAAAACUCAGGCACACUUUAUUGAAUCCGUGGAUUUAUUGUUGGACUGACGACUUUGACACAGUCCGCAUUUCCAUUAUUAACAAUUUAACCCCUUCGGAGAUAACGAUUUAUUAGUUACUGCCGCCCGUGAUUGAAAUACGUCUUCUCUAAUAGAAUACUGCGAAAUGACCGAGGAAAAACCUACUUCCCCAAAGAUCAGUGUGACACUGGCGGUUCUAAUUCUAUGCAGCGUAAAGCUGUGGAUAACUUAUAAGCAGAAGACGCUGCUGGAACAACGCCUUGCUCUUAAGCUUGAAUUAUACGCACACUCUACGAUCACGAACCAAACUUCCGAACCGGAUAGUGGCUUCCAGAGCACGCCGGAGCCGCUGCAGCCAAUUACCGAUGAGCCAAUGACCACACCGGUUCCUGUCAGCAAUCGUCCACGCUUACUGGACCGAAUCCGGAGCAUUGCAGUUACACACGGCACACCGACAGAUUCGUCCGUCCGCUGCUGCCCAUGUGUUCAACAGGUUGACUGUGCUGGUAGCCGUCCUGGGGGUGAAAGCGAUCGGGAUGUGCAUUAAGCAGUCUGCGAUUGUCGCACUGAUCAUCCUGAUUGCCUUGGCGGUGUUCAACUAGUAUACCAGGAUUAUGACACUCAAUCCCGGUUACUCGAUCUGCUAGACUGCUACUCACAUGCUUAAUUAGUGAAUAACGUAUUGUAUCAGUUAGUGACCCUUCCCGAAUUACACGCCCACCCGAAACGAAGAUUUCUUGCCGUACAUUUAUGACCUUUAUGAUCUCGUAUAAUUAUACACUCAUUAUUUUUUAAUAAUCAUACUCUGUACUUAAUUUGUUUUUAAGUAAGGAAAAAUACUGUCGAUAAAAACGUUUUACUUCUUAGAAUGGGAAUGAUUGAAUACGAGCUAUGCAAAACGCUCGUCCUUUAAGCGUGCGUAAGCAAUAAAAACCCCCUCCUGAAUAAAAGCCCUACCCGAAAUAGAAAAAUCAUCCGAAAUCCUUACCAAAAAUAAUAACGCUGGGUCAAUAACUGAUAAAUACGUUAUUUUACAACCUAGUACUUGUUCGAACAAAAAUCAAUGAUCUUUAGCCGCUAUUAAAUUUCGCUACUCCUCCUAUCAGUUUCCACUUUCAAAGACGGUAAAAAUCUGCUGUUUGUUUUGGUCUUGUUUUCUUAUAAUAUUAUGCUGAAUGAAUGAUACUGUUAAACGCCCGUUACCUGUAUAAGUGUAUACUGUAUGUAUGCCUAAUGGUCAUUCCUGCUCGCCUAUUCGUUAUACAUGUAUCUGUUCCUUCUACUUGCCUCCAGGCACUCGCAUACAGCCAUCUCACCGCAUGCUGACCGAUGGUUAUUCCACAGCACUUCACUUUUCCU